rnacentral:lncRNA from 1 species
ACACCGAGAAUUUCGUCCCACCGACCUUCUCAAAGUUAUUUUCUUCUCUCUCUAUCUCUCUCACAGGGGGUGGGGAGACAAAAAAAAAAAGAAAGAAGAAGAAGGUAAAGAAGAAAAAAGUUGUGGAAGGGGAUUGGAUCAAGGGCGAUCCUUCGGGGAGGAUCGAGCAUCCUCAACCCGAGAGAAGAGGAAGGCUUCUGAGGCUUAUAUAGCUUGAGACCCUUUAUCAAGAGGGACAAGAGGGACGAGGGGGAUCUGAUUGGGAGGUCCAACAAUUGUAGACUGGUCUUGACGGUGAGCUCUUAUAUAUGUAUCUGCUAGAGUUUAAUAGAGUAUUUGAAUUCCAGAUAUGAUAAUUGAGUUUGGGUUGUUGUGCUUGAUUUUGGCUCAAAUCGUACAUGGUUGUUUUCUGGAAAUUUGAAAAUGGAUUCAGUUUUGAUAUAAUGAUAUUUUUGUGUUGAUUGGCAUAUCUAGGAAGAAGAAAGGUGUUAAUUUGAUGAAUGGAAACUAGGGUACGAUUGCUGAGAAAAAUAUGGAUUAUUUUCGAUUUAUUUGGGGUCAGGCUGUUACAACUACUUCCCAAGUUAGUUACCCAAUUAUACAGAAAAUGAACCUCAAAAUAUUUCAACCACAGAUGAAGAGCAAACUUCUCCCACUGUUUCUGAUUUUUUAGUUACUCCUCUACUAAAUCCUCAAUUAAGCACACUUACCCAACCUUUUGUAAUAAACUAUUCCAGAUUAGAUAAACAUCUAGAAUCAAAAGAAAAUAUCCUUAGGAGAAACCUCUAUAGGAUGAAGUUCCCUUUCAUGGAUCAACGAAAGCAAUUAUUUCAUGAUUGGCAAGCAUUUAUGCUUGAAACAAGAUCUGAAAUAUUCUUUCUUGAUUUUAUAGAACAACUAAACAACCAAAAAAUUCAAACAUUAACAAAAGCAAGAUGGAAAACCUCCACUAGCUCAGUCCUUUUCAGUCAUCCUCCUGUUGAAACAAUAAUAAUUUAUCAUCUUUACAGUCCAAUCACAGCUUCACCUUUUAAAAUUGCUAUAGAAGAUNNNNNNNNNNNNNNNNNNNNNNNNNNNNNNNNNNNNNNNNNNNNNNNNNNNNNNACAACAUAUCCUCUAAAGUUAGUAUUCUACCACAACCUAAACCAGAGACUCCUUUAGUUCAUUUCAGUGAAUUAAAUAAACCUACCCUGAAUCCUACUUCUUCGAUUCAAAAGAUCGAACGAAUGUUAGAAAAAUUAAAAACUGAAACACCUGCACCCAGUAGGAUUGCUGUAAUUCAUACCCAACAAACCUCUUCAUCCAUUUCUUCAGAUAGCGAUUCUAGUAACACUAGCCAAAUUAAAGAAAGAAACCAAAUACUUCAGACCUUAAAUAUCGAACCUUCAAACCUAGACCGAAUAGUUCAUCCAAAAAAGUGAUCUUUCAAAACUUGGACAGAAUGUCCUCUCCCCUUAGAUAUACAACCUACUAAUCACAUUACUAAUCAAUUCUCAGUUUCUUCUGAUAAAACUUAUGAAUAGAAUAUUGAUAAUUUAUCAGAACAAGAAAUCUUAAACAAAUUACAUCACAUGUCUAUGGCAGCCAAUAGCUAUGCCACUAAUCAUAAUUUCAGCCAACCUGAAAUUAUUGACAUACUUUCCACAGGAUUUACAGGAAUGCUUCAUUCCUGGUGGGAAAAAUACUCUUGAUUCUAGAUCAUCCAUUAAACAUGCCAUUAAACGAGAUGAAAAUGAGACUCCCAUCUUUGACGAUCGCACAAGAAUGGAAAUUUCUGAUGUUGUUAAUACCUUAUUUUACACAACAAUCCAACAUUUCAUAGGAACCCCUAGUCAUAUUACUUCUAGAAUUCAUGAUCAACUCAGUAACCUUAGGUGUCCUACCCUAAGUGACUUCAAAUGGUACAAAGAUGUAUUCAUUUCUCGAGUUAUGCUUAGAGACGAUAGUAACCAACCAUUUUAGAAAGAAAAAUUCAUAAAUGGUCUUCCAAAAUUAUUUGCUCAUAAAAUCAGACAAGUUCUUAGUAAUGAAACAGGUCACAUAAACUAUGAUUCUUUAAUUUAUGAAAACAUAAUUACAGUUAUCCAAAAAGAAGGAUUAAAAAUGUGUAUAGAUAUGAAACUAAAUGCUCAAAUGAAAUCAGAUAAGAAAACAGCUAAAUACGAAUUAGGAAAUUUUUGUGAACAAUAUGGCCUACCUCCCUUACCUCCUUCAAGGAGAAAAAAGGCAAGCAAUAAAUUUAUUCCUUACCAUUCAAAAAGAAAAUUUACACCUUACAAAAAUAACUUUGAGCCAAACAAAUUUUGUUCCAAAAACAAAUUUCGCAAAAAUUGGUCUAAGAAACCAAAUCACUAACUAAAAAGUAAACCUUUCGAUAAAAGUAAAACUAAAUGUUUUAAAUGUAAUAAGACUGGUCACUUUGCAAACAAUUUUCCAGUUAAAAGUAUUAUUAAUCAACUCAAAAUUAGUUAAGAAGAAAAAUAAAAACUUAUACAAACUUUAGAAUUACGAAACACUGAUUCAGAAAAUGAAAUGAGUGAAGAUGACAUCACAUUAAUGAAAUCUUCUUCCUCUGAAUCCAAUGAACAUUCUUCCCCAGAUAUUACUUUUGGGUGUAAGGAUGCUUGUAAUUGUAAAACAAUAAAUGUUCUUUCCAAACAGGCAGAACAAAAAGAACUCUUAAUUGAUUUAAUAGGUAAAAUAGAUAACCCUGAACUUAAAGUAGAAUACCUUAAAAAAUUAAAAAAUUAAUUACCCAAGAAAAUAUAGUUAAUCCUCUCUCACAAAAAAUUAGCCUUACUACAACUUUCGAUAAAUUCUCCACUAGUAAAAAGGAAAUAACAAUCCAAGAUCUAUAACAUGAAGUAAAAACAGUCAAGAGUCAAAUACAUGCUUUACACCAAACACAUAUAGAACUUACGAAUGACAAUAAAGAAAUUAAACAGGAAUUAAACUUACUAAAAAUAAAUAACCAAUUUCUUAAAUUACAGGAUCCCCUUGAAAAUCAUUUUCCAAAUCCUUUCCCAGAAAAUAAUGAAGCUGAAAACUCUGAAAAUAAUACCAUUAGUACCAUACGCCAAAUCCAGCUUAAAAAAUGGUACACUAUUAUCCAACUCAAAAUAAAAGAUUUCCAAAUAACAAUAACAACCCUUAUUGACUCUGGUGCAGACCUUAUUUGCAUCCAAGAAGGCUUAAUACCUUCAAAAUAUUUUGAAAAAACGAAAGAGUCUUUACGAUCAGCUAAUGGAACAAAAAUGGAUAUUAAGUACGAAAUUCCUAAAGCCCAUAUCUGCAAAAACAAUGUUUGUUUCAAAACUUCGUUUGUCUUGGUUAAAAAUUUAACUGAUAAAGUAAUUUUAGGACUACCUUUCAUAACUUUAAUUUACCCUUUCAAAACUGAAUAUGAUUGUAUUAUUACCUACCCUUUUGAUGAACCAGUUAAAUUUACUUUUCUUUCAAACCCCGAAAUCCAUACUUUGAAAGCAUUUUAAGAAAAUAAUAUUUCAAAAACUCUCGGUUGCAUUCAAGUGAAAAUCAAACAAAUAACCUUUCUCCAAGAAGAAAUUAAUUUCAAAAGAAUUGAAAAUCAACUCCAAAACUCUUUUCUUAGCAAAAGGUCAAAACUUUUGAAGAAAAGAUAAUCAAAGAAAUAUGUUCUGAUAUUCCUACUGUCUUUUGGCACAGGAAAAAACAUAUUGUCUCACUAUCCUACAUCAAAGAAUUCAAUUAGAAAAAUAUCCCUACUAAAGCUCGUCCAAUUCAAAUGAGUCACGAAAUCAUGGAUUUUUGUAAAAACGAAAUUAAUGAUUUACUCAACAAAGAUAUUAUUCGCCCUAGUAAAUCCCCUUGGUCUUGCCCAGCUUUCUAUGUUCAGAAAAAUGCUAAACUCGAACGAGGGACUCCUCGUCUAGUUAUAAAUUACAAACCUCUUAACACAGUUUUAGAAUGGAUCAGGUAUCCCAUUCCCAAUAAACGAGAUCUCAUUAACAGAUUAAACAAAUCUGUUAUCUUUAGUAAAUUUGAUAUGAAACCAGGAUUUUGGCAAAUUCAAAUUAGUGAAGCCGACAAAUACAAAACUGCAUUUGUCACGCCCUUUGGUCAUUAUGAAUGGAAUGUUAUGCCAUUUGGAUUAAAAAAUGCCCCUAGCGAAUUCCAAAACAUAAAGAAUGACAUAUUCAAUCCUUAUAGUCAUUUCUCCAUUGUCUACAUUGAUGAUGUUUUGAUCUUUUCACAAUCAAUUGAUCAACACUGGAAACAUCUUCACCAAUUCUUUUCCAUAAUAAAGAAUAAUGGUCUAGUUAUUUCUGCAUCAAAAAUCAAAUUAUUCCAAACCAGCAUUCGUUUUCUUGGAUUUAACAUUCACCAACUCCAAAUUAAACCCAUUGAUAGAGCGAUACAAUUCGCUGACAAAUUUCCAGAUAUCAUUCUAGAUAAAAAUCAAUUACAAAGAUUCCUAGGAUCUUUAAAUUAUGUAGCAGAUUUUUACAAAAAUCUUAGGAAACAUUGUAAACUUCUAUUCGAUAGAUUACAAAAAAAUCUUUCCCCUUGGACUUCAGUACAUACAUCCUUAGUCAAAGAAAUUAAGAGUCAUGUCAAAGAGUGCGGUUAUUAGGACCUCCAAAUUUGCUCAUUAUACCUCUCAUUCUCUCUACACCUCCCUUUUACUUUUCAAUAUAAGUAUUUGCUCACUAGACCUCAUUUCAAAUUCCUACCAUAACCUUAGUUAUUUAUUGACAUAUAUUUUAAUCAAUUAAUUACCUCUUAUUCAAUCAAUAGACUUCUCUUUUUUUUUUCCUUUUUUUUUGUUCAACAUUGAUCUACUAUCCCUACCUUCAUUUUUUUAUUAUUUUUUUCUAUGCAAGAAAAUGUUCUAUCAUGAACUACUCUAUAUACCUUUAUAAUUGGUUUGGUCUUUUGUACGUGUUAUUUUUUCUCUAUUUUUUUUUCUUUUUGAAUAAUUUGAUCUCUAUUUUGUACCUCAUAAUAAAUUAUUUCAAUAAAUAUAUAUUUUCUAUAAUCGAUAGAUAUUAAUUUAUUUUUUUUACAAAAAUAUUUAUGCAUCUUGCAAGUAUAUGCGCUCAAUAUGUAUGAUUAUACAAAAUUGUAUGUCACAUGAUCGAUAUUGAUUAUUUUUUUAGCUCUUAUAAACUAUAGCUUUAAUAAAAAGAAAUUGGAAAACAAAAAUAUAUAAGGAAAAUAAUAAAGAAUGGAAUCAAUUAUUAUUGAAUUGGAAAGUUUAAAGAGAAUAAAUACAAUAUUUCAUUUUGUAUAAUUAUUGUCCUUAAUAGUCAUUGUGUAUGAGGAUGUAUAUGUCAUUUAAUAAUUCAAAAUAGAGUGAGGUCUAGUGAGCAAAUUUGGAGGUCUCGAUAGCCCCACUCCAUGUCAAAACCUUACCAUGCUUAGGAAUCCCUCUUCCCGAUUCCUAUAAAAUAGUAGAAACUGAUGUCUCUGAAAUAGGUUAUAGAGGUAUUCUCAAACAACAACUUUCUCUUAAUCAUCCUGAGCAAAUUGUUCGUUUUCAUUAUGUGAUUUGGAAUCCAGCCCAAUCAAAUUAUAGUACUAUCAAAAAAGAAAUUUAUCAAUUGUUUUAUGUAUCAGUAAAUUUCAAGAUGAUUUAUUAAAUCAAAAAUUGUUAGUCCGAGUUGAUUGUAAAAGUGCUAAAGAUGUUUUAGAAAAAGAUGUUCAAAACAUUACUAGUAAACAGAUCUUUGCCCGUUGGCAAGCAAUUUUAAGUAUCUUUGAUUUUGAAAUUGCAUUCGUUAAAGGCAGUGACAAUCAUAUCUCCGAUUUCCUAACUCGUGAAUUUCUAUAGGGCGCCACAACAUGAAGUCUAGCUCAUCCAAAGGGAGAAAUCCCGGAAAAUCAAAAGCUACCGCAUCCUCUCCAGUUAAGCCAGAAUCACCUGAGUCAAAUUCAAACAUAGUUCCUUUUACAGGUCAUUCUCCUGUUGCUUUAGUUAACCAGUAUAGUGCUCUUGGUAGCACCCUCAGUCAAAAUAAACCCAGUUACCAAUUAGCUUUAGUAAACCAGUUCGACCCUUACAAAUCAGGCUCCUCAUCUAACCUUCCAGUUAUUUAUAAAAAAAUCCUCCCCUUACAUUAUCAGGGCUGAGCAUGGCCUAUUUUACAUUGAACCCACCUUGAGUCAUCUAAAAAAUCAUGUUUCUUUAAUAAAAAGUUAUUUUGGUCCAACCUCUCAUUACCCUCCAGGUAAACCCCCAUUAGCAUUUUAUAAAGACAUUCUGUAUAAAACCGAGUCAAUAUUCAUUAAGUCAAUCCUUGAUCCAAAAGACCAAUCUAAGAUAUUAUAUCAUUCCCUUUAUAUAAUCCGAAUCAUGUCACUAGCCCAAUGGGGUGAUCCCCCCUCUACUCCCCACACAUUAGACACACUCACAUUUACCUAUCAUGAUUACAUCAAAGCAUGGGAUAAAAUAUUCCUCCAUCAAACCGAGGAUUUUAGUCAUUCGUGUUUCCUCAAUUUCGAUAGAAGAUUCAACCGCCAAUUCCCUAUGUGGUUUGGUAAUUGGUGGAAUGACCAUGGUUGCCCUUAUGAUCUUCUCCCAUUACAACUCCAGAAUGCAGUCACGAAAUUUACUACAGUUAUGACCUUUUCAGAAUAUGAAAAAAGGUUUUCUGCCACUCUCCAAUUCAUGGCCAAGUAUAAAAUUCCUUGGAUUAUGAAAUGGCAAUACAAAAUUGAACCUGAAGAAUACAUGGUUAUAAGACAAUUCUUAGUAAAAUGGUGAGAUAAAUUCGACCCUGAAAGAGUUUUAACUCAAUUCAGUGAAGAAUUCACAGUUAUUCCCUCGAGUUCAAAAACUCCGGUUUCCAUUCAGCUGACUCCUCCGAUCUCGCAGUUAACAUCUCCAACUCCUCAGUCACCAUCUUUUUCCAAGAAGACAAAUCAGUCACCAUCUUCUUCUAAGAAGAACAAAGCCUCCAGUUCAUCUUCAUCUUCCAAAGCAGAAGAAUGAAAAGAUCUGGCUAAGCAAUUACUACAACAAGCAACAAAUUUAUCCACAGAUGAUGAAGAACAUUCUCCAUCAGAAUCAUCAUCAUCACACAGUCAUCAAAGUUCCCCUAAUCAACCAUAAAGAUGGGCAGAUUAUGAAGAUAGUCAAGACCCUUAUGCUGAGUUUGAUCAAAUUCUAGUCAAGACCAUCCCAGUCAGUAAAUCAGCAAGUAAAUCACAUGACAGACAGUCUACUAUUCAUCAACAGUAAAUCACAUGAUCAAUAGUCACUCCGUGGCAGACAAGUUACUAUUCACCAACAGUCACUUUUUACUAUUCAUCACUUUUGUAAUUUCUAUUUAUAGAGGCCUCCGGCUUCAUUGUAAGCAGUCUUCAUUUUUCUCGUCUUCUCCUCUCCUCUCUUCCCAUUUUCUCUCCAGUAAAAUACUCAUGUAAACAGAGCCCUUAAUCUUACAUAUGCAUUAAUUUAAAUUUGUAAGUUUGUAACUCUGAGUUCUUAUCAAUCAAAUGUUUUAGUUCGUCUAUCAAUCUAAUGUUUUAUUUAUUUGCUUCUGUGUUUUGGUAUCAGUUAAGCCUUCUUGUCGUGUUUUAGUUUAUUUUACUUUUCCCGCUCACGCCUCGGGUUCGGUGUCAGGUGCUUGGAAACCACUGACAUUGGGUUCGGGGUGUGACAGGCGCCCUGCUCCUGCAACCCCUCUCAAACUUGUUCGUAAGGGAUUUGAUCAAAUUAAGAUCUCGGGGUUCUUCUUCUUGGUACCCUCAACCAGCAUUAUUACUACAAAACAAAGGUAAACAACCUUGGUCAGUACUUAACACAACAAGAAAUACCAAAGGCUAUAAUAAGAUUACAAAAUCAACUGAUCACAGACCAGGAGCUUCGUAAACCCGCUACGAGCAUCAACAUGCAACUGAAAAGUUCACAACAUACGGUGGAUCCCCUUCUCUGUUAGAGGAGUCAAUUAAGGACUUCUGCGUGACUACAAAGAUGACAACAUCCUUUAACGUAACACUUUACGAGACACAAGAGAUAAACCAAAUCAAGAAAAACAAAAGACUUACUUACUGGCUGAUAGCCUAAUGGGAUCUCAAACCGUGACGGUAUUUGAAAAUUGCUCACUAGGAA